rnacentral:tRNA from 1 species
GGGUGUAUAGCUCAGUUGGUUAGAGCGCUACAUUGACAUUGUAGAGGUCUGUGGUUCAAAUCCACAUACACCCA